rnacentral:rRNA from 1 species
GACAGAGGGUGCAAACGUUGCUCGGAAUCACUGGGCGUAAAGGGCGUGUAGGCGGGAGGGAAAGUCAGAUGUGAAAUCCCCAGGCUCAACCUGGGAACUGCAUUUGAAACUCCCCUUCUUGAGUAUCGGAGAGGAAAGCGGAAUUCCUGGUGUAGAGGUGAAAUUCGUAGAUAUCAGGAGGAACACCGUGGCGAAGGCGGGCUUC